rnacentral:pre_miRNA from 1 species
UGAGGUAGUAGGUUGUAUAGUUUGAUGGGAAGGAUUUCAUCCCAUUGAUGGUGAUAACUAUACACUCUAUUGCCUUCC